rnacentral:rRNA from 1 species
CAAUAGCGUAUAUUAAAGUUGUUGCUGUUAAAAAGCUCGUAGUUGGAUCUCGGCAGGCAGGGGGUGGUUCGCUCUUAGCGCUACUGCCCCAUUUGCCUGUGUGAUUGGCGGAGGUUUCGGGGUGCUCUUCGUUGAGUGACCCGGGGCGCCGUCAGGUUUACUUUGAAAAAAUUAGAGUGCUCAAAGCAGGCUUUUCACGCUUGAAUAUUCGUGCAUGGAAUAAUGGAAUAGGAACUCGUUUCUAUUUUGUUGGUUUUCGGAAAUCGAGUUAAUGAUUAAUAGGGACAAUUGGGGGCAUUAGUAUUCAGACGACAGAGGUGAAAUUCUUGGACCGUCUGAAGACUAACUACUGCGAAAGCAUUUGCCAAGAGUGUUUUCAUUAA